rnacentral:rRNA from 1 species
AUAGAAAUAAAAUUUAAUAAAAAUUUUUAUAAAGAAAAAUUUAUUUUUAAUUCUUUUUGUAUUAAGAUUUAAUAAAAAAUUAUUAACAAUUUUUAUAUUUUCUAAAUAAAUUUAAAUAUAAUUUUUUUUAAAAAAAAUAAUAUAAAAAAAUUAUUUUUAAUAAUAUUAUAGUUUAGAUAUUAAAUUCAACUUUUAUUAAAUAAUUUUAUAUUAAAUUAAUUAAAUUAAUAAUUUAUUUUUUAAGAAUAAAUUAAAUAUUUAUAAAGAUAAGUUUAUUAAUAAAAUUAUAUUUAAUUAAUUUUUAAAAUUAAUAAAUUAUAUAAUUAAAAAUUUUAAAUUAAAUUUUUUUAAUAAUUUUUUAUUAAAUAAUAUAAAUUAAAAAAUUAAUAAUAUUUAAUGUAAAAUUAAUUUAAAUAAAUUUAAAUUAAUUUAUAAUAUUAAAAUUAGUAAUUUAAAUAAAUUAUUUAAAUAAAUUCGACAAUAAAUUUUUAUUUGUUUAAUAAAAACAUAAUUUAAAGAAAUUAAUUUUAAAUAUAUUCUGCUCAAUGAAUUUUAUUUUAAAUAGCUGUAGUAUAUUAACUAUACAAAGGUAGCAUAAUAAUUUGUAUUUUAAUUGAAUAAUAGAAUGAAUGAAUAAAUAAAAAAUUUUUUUUAUUAAAUUAAUUUAAUGAAUUUAAUUUUUAAGUUAAAAAGCUUAAAUAAUUUUAAAAGACAAAAAGACCCUAAAAAUUUUAUAUUUAAAUUUUAAAAAUAUUUAUUUGGGGUAAAUUUAAUAGAAUAAUUUAUUAAUAAUUUAAAUUAUAAAUAAAUAUUAAAUUAAAAUUACUUUAGGGAUAACAGGAUAAUUAAAUUUAAUAGAAUAAAUUAAAAAUUUAGAUUGUUACCUCGAUGUUGAAUUAAUUUAACUUUUUAAUAUAGAAAUUAAAUUAGUAAGUUUGUUCAACUUUUAAAAAAUUACAUGAUUUGAGUUAAGAUCGAUGUAAAUUAGAUUGGUUUUUAUCUUUAAAUUUAUUAUAUUAAUUUAGUACGAAAGGAUUAAUUAAUAUUUUAAAAUAU